AGCAAAGUCUCCGGGCGCGGACGCUCUAGGCUGACAGCGGCCAGGGAAAAAGGCUGUGGCCAGGGCUUGGGUCUCUGAGGACGACGUUUGCGGUCAGUGAAAGCAAAGACAUGUAGAAGUUAUGGAAGCAAACUUGCCCUUACUAAGGUCUUCCAGAAUGGACGGAUCCCCCCUCACAUCUCUAUAAGCUGUCCUCUCACAUGGUUUUACUGUGUGAGAAUGUUGGACCCCUGGAUCUGGAGUUAAAGACCUCUGUAAGCUGCCAUGUGAAUGCUGGGACUUGAAUCAGCAGUGAUCCCAAGACAGUAGGACAGGGGCUGGAGAUAGGAGUGAUGAAGAGGAUGUAUUGCUCUUCCAGAGGACUGGAGUUCAACUCCCACCUACCCCAUCAGACUGCUCACAACUACCUCUACCUCAAGCUCCAAAAGAAUCUCUGGCCUCUGCAAGCAAAAUUCACUUACUGGCAUGUUCCUACCAUAACUAAAACUUUAAACAACAAUAAUAAAAAGACAACUGGGUAAUCAGCAUCUUUCUACUGAUGUCAUAGCUGGGUGGAGCUAUGGAAAGCAUUAGGACAGAACUACAAGGGAGGAGGAUGGCAGCUGAGUAAAAAAAAAAAAAAAAAAA